CGGUCCAAACUCCUACGGGAGGCAGCAGUGGGGAAUAUUGCACAAUGGGCGAAAGCCUGAUGCAGCAACGCCGCGUGAGUGAUGAAGGCCUUCGGGUCGUAAAACUCUGUCCUCAAGGAAGAUAAUGACGGUACUUGAGGAGGAAGCCCCGGCUAACUACGUGCCAGCAGCCGCGGUAAUACGUAGGGGGCUAGCGUUAUCCGGAUUUACUGGGCGUAAAGGGUGCGUAGGCGGUCUUUCAAGUCAGGAGUGAAAGGCUACGGCUCAACCGUAGUAAGCUCUUGAAACUGGGAGACUUGAGUGCAGGAGAGGAGAGUGGAAUUCCUAGUGUAGCGGUGAAAUGCGUAGAUAUUAGGAGGAACACCAGUUGCGAAGGCGGCUCUCUGGACUGU
rnacentral:rRNA from 1 species